GAAACACUGAUGAUGAGGGGAGAAAGUAGUUAAGUACAGAAGUAAAAUUGUUGAGAAGUGAUAUGGGAUAAAAUAUACACUAGUGAAAAGUUGCUGAAGUUACAUCUCAUCCAUUAUAAGAGGAAUAAGCACUGCAAAUGUGAGUAAAGAUACAGGUAAGAUGGUAGAUUUGGAGUUGGGAUGAUGAAGCCACUCUUUUGACUGCUUUUGUUUCCUUAAAAAAAUAAAGAUUAACUAGUCAAAUUAGGAAGAAGACUAGGGCUGUUGCAGGAUACAAAGUUAUAAAUUCUCAUCUUGGAGAGUAGGAAUGGAAAUUUACUAGUCAAACGUAACUGGAUUGCUAGGCAAUACUUACUGCCUGUUUGAGAGUUGGGUCAUAAAUUCAACAUUCAACCAGGUAAACGUAUUUUUCUCUUGCCCUAUUCUGUUGCUGGGGUGUGGGUACAGGGUGACUGCAGUGCUUAUUCCUCUUAUAAGAGUUUGUCAGGUGGUAAUAUAGGUUCUGUGGGUGAUGGCUGCAGAAGAGCUGGUCUAUAUAAAGGAAUGGUUAUAAAGACGGAUGAAGGACUCUUAAGAUGUGAAGAAAGGAAGUAGAAGACAUGAAAAGGGGCAAGGAGAAGGAAAAAGCAAUGGGAUCAAUGAGGCUGAAUGACUCCUAGGUUACAAUGGUACAUAGGAUAAAGAAAAUUUUAUGCUGAAGGCAGUUAAUGCUUUCGGACAAGUUUGCCUCCUGGAAUUGAUUUGGUUGUGCUUCUUCGAUUUUUUUUUCUUUUCCUCAAAAUCAUAGUAAGUCAUAUGUAAUUUCAAUGGGAACUAUAAGAAACACUUUAUUGAAAGUGUUAUGUAAAAAGCUUAAGAUGUAUCUUGUUUUUCGCUUUGAAGGCCAUCUCAGUGAGAAUUACAAUUUCUGAAAGCCAAGACCCUCUUGUCAAAUAUCUAUCACACUGGUUUUCAAGAUAUAUGUAAGAUAAGGAAAGAGGAUGCUUGGUUUUUCUUUCUAAAAGUAUAAUGGUGCAGCUGAGAUUGUGAUAUUGCUAUGUAUGCAUUUGGAAUAUUUAUUUUCUAGUCAGAUACUGUUACAAUUUAUCAUUGAAGUACUAGAUUAGCCUUUCCCUAGAGUUAGUUUAAAUGGUGAGUAUAAAAUAUAGCUAUUCGAAGGCGAAUUUAUAUGAAGUCUUUUAUCAUGAUUCCAUCCGUUUGUGAAUGAAGCUGUCCUUAUAUUUCAUACACGUGUUCAAAAUUCCCAGGCUUUGCUUUUGCCAUAAGGAGCCUGACUCAUCAUGUUUUUGUGUUUUUUAAAACAAUACAGCAACAUUCUCUUCCUUAAGCCUCACAGUAUUCUUUCAUUGGAUAGUUGUCCUCUGGGCUAAUACCACAGCUAUAUUUUAUUUUAAAGACUUCCUAAGAUUUCAAUCACAGUUUAUAUAUUUUUUAGAGUUAAGGUAUAUAUGCAUACUCUUUG
rnacentral:lncRNA from 1 species